GAUGAACGCUGGCGGCGUGCCUAAUACAUGCAAGUCGAGCGAACAGACGAGGAGCUUGCUCCUCUGACGUUAGCGGCGGACGGGUGAGUAACACGUGGAUAACCUACCUAUAAGACUGGGAUAACUUCGGGAAACUGGAGCUAAUACCGGAUAAUAUAUUGAACCGCAUGGUUCAAUAGUGAAAGACGGUUUUGCUGUCACUUAUAGAUGGAUCCGCGCCGCAUUAGCUAGUUGGUAAGGUAACGGCUUACCAAGGCAACGAUGCGUAGCCGACCUGAGAGGGUGAUCGGCCACACUGGAACUGAGACACGGUCCAGACUCCUACGGGAGGCAGCAGUAGGGAAUCUUCCGCAAUGGGCGAAAGCCUGACGGAGCAACGCCGCGUGAGUGAUGAAGGUCUUCGGAUCGUAAAACUUUGUUAUUAGGGAAGAACAAAUGUGUAAGUAACUAUGCACGUCUUGACGGUACCUAAUCAGAAAGCCACGGCUAACUACGUG
rnacentral:rRNA from 1 species